rnacentral:rRNA from 1 species
AUGAGCAAUUGCUCCGUCGGCGACCCGAAGUAUGACAAGAUUUGCAUCUGGGAGUCGGACGGCGACAUCACCUGCGACAUUGUGGACGGGGCCGCUCUGUUGGACGACGCGCGGAGGAGCGUGAGGACGGAGGACGGCGGGGAGAGCGCGGCGCUUCUGCCUCCGCCGUCCCAGGCGCCGCGCAUUGCCAAGUCAAGUGGGUGUCCCCAUCGCUGGCGAAGCAACAGGGAGACCAUCGUCAAGGGACACAAGCACUACGAGCUCAUGCUGAACUUGCAGCUCGGGAUCAGGAUGGAUUGA